rnacentral:rRNA from 1 species
ACAACGGAGAGUUUGAUCCUGGCUCAGGAUGAACGCUAGCGAGAGGCCUAACACAUGCAAGUCGAGGGGUAACAGGGGAGCUUGCUCCCGCUGACGACCGGCGCACGGGUGAGUAACGCGUAUGCAACCUGCC